GACGAACGCUGGCGGCGUGCUUAACACAUGCAAGUCGAACGCUGAAGCUUGGUGUUUGCACUGGGUGGAUGAGUGGCGAACGGGUGAGUAAUACGUGAGUAACCUGCCCUUGACUCUGGGAUAAGCCUGGGAAACUGGGUCUAAUACUGGAUACGACAUGUCACCGCAUGGUGGUGUGUGGAAAGGGUUUUACUGGUUUUGGAUGGGCUCACGGCCUAUCAGCUUGUUGGUGGGGUAAUGGCUCACCAAGGCGACGACGGGUAGCCGGCCUGAGAGGGUGACCGGCCACACUGGGACUGAGACACGGCCCAGACUCCUACGGGAGGCAGCAGUGGGGAAUAUUGCACAAUGGGCGGAAGCCUGAUGCAGCGACGCCGCGUGAGGGAUGACGGCCUUCGGGUUGUAAACCUCUUUCAGCACGGAAGAAGCGAAAGUGACGGUACGUGCAGAAGAAGCGCCGGCUAACUACGUG
rnacentral:rRNA from 1 species